GUCCCUGAAGACGCACUGAAGGAGACGAGGCUGUCGAAAACGUUCCUCAGCCUCUCGGCCGUCCGCAUCUCCUUGCGCUAUUUCUGGCAGCCCAACCCGCACUGGCCUGUGCCCUCCUGGCUGGGGGUGGGGCCCAGCUGUUAGCAACGGCCCCGGGGAGGGGCAGCCGGAUGCUGUGGUCAGGCUUCAGGAAUGUUCAGCUGCCUCUGCUGGGCCCAGAACACAGAGGAGCUGCUGUCUGCGUGUUUUAGGCAGCUCUGGACACGUCCCCAUCACACGGACCGAGUGCCCCCCUGCAUCCCUCAGAAGGCCCUGAGCUGGUUCACCGUGGGCAGAGCGCUCCCCGGGGAGGACUCACGCCACCAGGAGGACUCUGUCUACUUGGGAGGACUCGCUGUCUCUACCUGGGAGGACUCGCUCUAUCCGGGAGGACUCGCUCUACCUGGGAAGACUCGCUAUCUCUACCUGGGAGGACUCACUCUACCUGAGAGGACUCACUCUAUCUGGGAGGAUUCUCUCUCCACCCAGGAGGACUCUGUCUACCUAGGAUGACUCACUGUACCUGGGAGGACUCACUCUAUCUGGGAGGACUCGCUCUACCUAGAAGGACUCUCUCUGUCUGGAAGGACUCUCUCUAAGAAGACUCUCUCUCUCUACCUGGGAGGACUGGCUCUACCUAGGAGAACUCACUCUACCUGGAAGAACUCACUGUACCUGGGAGGACUCACUCUACCUGGGAGGACUCACUGUCUCUACCUGGGAGGACUCUGUCUACUUGGGAGGAGUCUCUCUCUACCUGGGAGGAGUCUCUCUCUACCUGGGAGGACUCACUCUACCUGGGAAGACUCCCUGUCUCUGCCUGGGAGGACUCUCUCUACUGUGGCCCUGGGUGGCAUCCUCCCCCGGCCGCUCCAUGCUGGGGCUAUGUCUUGGGGAGCCCAUUCUCUCUGCCUCCUUCCAGUAUCCAGGAAAGGGCAGGGGCCAUUGAUGAGGAGAGUGCAGGGAUGGGCUUGGGGCCGUUCACCCACCAAGUCAAAGACUGGCCCGGGGGGAAGGGAGGGAAGAGUCCAUGGCAGGAGUCACGGGGAAGGUCUGGAGAGGGGAGACAGGAGGGGGACCCGCAGUAACUGAGGCACAGAAGGAAUCAGGGAGGGGGCACCACGGAGCUGCCAGGUCACCUUGGGAGGUGGAAAAACCUGUUUCUUGGGCUCAAGAAAACCGUGUCAACAUCCAAAGACAAUUACUUCCCCACAGGAGUUUUCAUUCCCUCUGGGCUGUCUGGAUCUUGGGAAAGUGACCAUCCUCCCCUGCUCCCCAGCUGCUGUCACCCAGUCCGGCCAGCCCCCCACUUUGCAGAGCCCACCCUGCCCCCACCCCCGGUCCCUGAAGCUUAUCAUCCAGGUCCUCCUUCACAGGUCUCCAACUAAGAAGAGUCCGGCGCCUGGGGGUGGGCUUCUGGGGGCUGGGCUGCUUCCUAUUGGAAGCACUGUCUCUGGGGUGUGGUCCCUUAACACAGGAGAAGACCCUACAAAGUUCCCCUUAGUGGAGCCCUUUCUGUGGGACAGGCUGUCUCUGAGCCCCAGUGACCAUUCUCUAUCUCAGCCACUGCCCAACCCUGGGGUGCACCAUCAGAGCCCCCGGUCGUGGGGGAACCCCAUGCUGGCAUCAGACAGGACUGUGGCCCCAGUCCCUACUCAGCUCUUCACGUUGCCUUUCAGUUGGCAGAUUUGGUGUUUGCAGUCAGGGCUCACGUAGGAAGUGGGGAGGGGGUGAAGUCUGCGGGGGUGUCCCAGAAAUCCCACAACUAAGCAUCUCUCCAGGGAGGGACUCUCCCACACACUGAAGGAAGCAUGUCACUGAUUGUGAAAAAUGGCCGCAGCACAAAUGCCCACUGAUAAGGAAGUGUGAGACGGGAAGACUCCCAGCAACAGCUGAGCGAGAAAAGCAAGUUGCGGGUGAGCGCUUAGAGGUGACUGUUCAUGAGAACUAAAGCCUCAUCCAUCAACACACACACACACCCCAUCUGUACAGGCACAGACACGCCGCGUGGGAGCCCGCCGGGAAGGACAGCCAAGGGGUAAGGGCCCCGGGGAGGACGGCGAGGUGAGGAAGGGGUGCUCUGUUUAGAUUCCCACCAGGAGGAGGUGUGUGCCUGCUUCAUGGGACGUGGGGUGGGGGGGAGCAGGGAGGGGGUGCUGGGCGGGGGGCGUUCUCACCCAGCCCAGCCAGAGAUGACCAGCUGGAGGUGUGUCCCCGCUCCCAACACCACGUGGAGGGAGCACGAAGACACCAGUGCUUCUUGCUUCUUUGAAAUCUGCUAAAAGUAGGUGUCGGGAAAGCAGCUGCGAGGAGCCUUUCCCGACACUGCGGUAACUCACUGCCCUGGGGCCCGGCGUCCACGUGAUCCCUCACACCCAGCAGACAACAGGCACCUGUUCCGAGGCCUGGGAGACCCAGGGCAGAAAAAAGGCCCGGCACCAGCCCAGACCCCUGCCUGCAGCCAGCGAGGGUGACAAGCUGGGUGCCCCGUGCCGCCCAGGACGCCACGCGCUCCUGAGGUCCUGCCAAUCCAGAGGACCUCUGCUCACAGUGCAGCAGGGCUGGGAACACGGGGGUGCUCCUUUUUUAAGUCAGGCUGCCUCUGAAGAUGGCACGCCCUUGACCUAGGAGAACGGCCGGCAGGGCCUCAGACCAGCAGGGCCGGAUCGCAGCCUCGCCCUUUCGACAGGAGACCGUGGGCCUGCCGUGUGAUCACCGGGAACAGGAGUGAGCCCAGACGGACCUCUUCACAAAGGAUGGAGUGGAGGGACCUUCUUGGACACAAGAUCUCAGCAGACUGGUGGAGACCUGAUGUGCCUGGGAGACAGGCCACCUGAGCCAGGAGGAGACAGAAUCAGAAAGCAGCAGCCACAGCAGCCACGGCAGGCCACACUCUCUGAACAUGGCCUGUGUCCACGCCUCUGAAGUCACCUGAUAUCCCUGCGGAAAUCUCUGCUCACUUUCAGCGCGUUUCAGUGAAAGCUGGUGUGGAAGGAAAGCCCCCGCAGGACAGACGUCUCACAGGCAGCAUCGACAAGCGGUCCUGAAGGUCAGCUGUUUCACCUGGGAAUGCCACUUGGCACAGUUUCCACUAUUUUAUAAGAGGCAAUUAUAUGUAUUACACAUCAACCCUAAAUCCCCACUCAGCACCGAAUGAAACACAAGAGACCCCGGUGUGGUGACAAGUUCUGUUUGUGAAGGAAAUGUUAGCACCACAUCCUGCUGGGAAGCAGCCUGGCUCUGAGGCACAAUUGCCAGGAAAACGGGGAAGCAUCGGCGAGGCGGCGACACCCAAGCCUUGCACCCCUUUGCUGACAUUUGACACCCAGCUGUUUGACAGUCACCUGCAUUUGACAAUUACCUGCAUGGAAGGUAAUUCAAGGCGUAGUUUUGCUUAAAAUAUUGUAUUGCAUUUUGAGGCUAGUAAUGCAGAUUUUCCCCUAUAUAAUCAAACACCAACUUUGUAUUGAGAGAUACAUACUUUCUACCAAUUGUUAUUAAAAUCCAAGAGGCAUUUACCAGGAAAACACUAACCAGGGAGAGUCUGGGAGGUUGCCUUUAUAUAGCGCAAUCAAUCAAGCAGUAGACUUGGAGAAUAAAGACGUGUACACAAGUUCUCAGAGACUGUUCUCAGAUCCUUUUUUAAAAGAAAAUCACACAAAGAUGUGGGCUUGUUUAAUUGGUAUUGAUAUACAAGUUACAUUUUAUAAAAUCCUGUUUCAACAUGUACUAUUCAGUGGCUAUUAGUACGUUCAUGCAACCAUGUUCAUAUACCAGCUGAGCCACCAGGGAAGCCCAAGAACACUGCAGUGGGUAGCCUAUCCCCUCUCCAAGGGAUCUUCCCAACCCAGGAAUCAAACUGGGGUCUCCUGCAUUGCAGGCGGACUCGUUACCACUAAUCUAAUUUCUGUUUCUAAUAAUUGUCCUAUUCUGGACAUUUCCAAUAAAAUGGAAAUAUACAUACAA